rnacentral:rRNA from 1 species
GAUGAACGCUAGCGGCAGGCCUAAUACAUGCAAGUCGAACGGAAUAUAGUUUUCGGAUUAUAUUUAGUGGCGCACGGGUGAGUAACACGUACAUAACUUACCCUCAAGAGGGGGAUAGCCUUGGGAAGCUGAGCGUAAUACCCCAUAGUAUUAUUGAACGGCAUCGUUUGAUAAUUAAAGCUACGGCGCUUGAGGAUAGAUGUGCGUCUGAUUAGCUAGUUGGUAAGGUAACGGCUUACCAAGGCGACGAUCAGUAGGGGGCGUGAGAGCGUGGCCCCCCACACGGGUACUGAGACACGGACCCGACUCCUACGGGAGGCAGCAGUAAGGAAUAUUGGUCAAUGCCCGGAAGGGUGAACCAGCCAUGCCGCGUGAAGGAUGACUGCCCUCUGGGUUGUAAACUUCUUUUGGAUGGGACGAAAAACGGGAUUUAUCCUGGACUGACGGUACCAUCAGAAUAAGCACCGGCUAACUCCGUGCCAGCAGCCG